AACGCUGGCGGCGUGCUUAACACAUGCAAGUCGACGAAGCAGCAGUGAAGGAGGCUUCGGCCAAUGGAUCUGUUGACUUAGUGGCGGACGGGUGAGUAACGCGUGAGCAACCUGCCUUUCAGAGGGGGAUAACGUUUGGAAACGAACGCUAAUACCGCAUGACAUAGUUUUAUCGCAUGGUAGGGCUAUCAAAGGAGCAAUCCGCUGAAAGAUGGGCUCGCGUCCGAUUAGAUAGUUGGUGGGGUAACGGCCUACCAAGUCGACGAUCGGUAGCCGGACUGAGAGGUUGAACGGCCACAUUGGGACUGAGACACGGCCCAGACUCCUACGGGAGGCAGCAGUGGGGAAUAUUGCACAAUGGGCGCAAGCCUGAUGCCAGCAACGCCGCGUGAGGGAAGACGGUUUUCGGAUUGUAAACCUCUGUCCUUGGUGAAGAUGAUGACGGUAGCCGAGGAGGAAGCCACGGCUAACUACGUGCCAGCCGCUGC
rnacentral:rRNA from 1 species